rnacentral:rRNA from 1 species
UACGAAGGGGGCUAGCGUUGUUCGGAUUUACUGGGCGUAAAGAGUGUGUAGGCGGUGCUCUAAGUUCGGUGUGAAAUCUCCCGGCUUAACUGGGAGGGUGCGCCGGAAACUGGAGUGCUCGAGCGUGGGAGAGGAAAGCGGAAUUCCUGGUGUAGCGGUGAAAUGCGUAGAUAUCAGGAGGAACACCUGCGGUGUAGACGGCUUUCUGGACCAUUGCUGACGCUGAGACACGAAAGCGUGGGUAGCAAACAGG